GACGAACGCUGGCGGCGUGCCUAAUACAUGCAAGUAGAACGCUGAAGGAGGAGCUUGCUUCUCUGGAUGAGUUGCGAACGGGUGAGUAACGCGUAGGUAACCUGCCUGGUAGCGGGGGAUAACUAUUGGAAACGAUAGCUAAUACCGCAUAAUAGCAGUUAUUGCAUGAUAACUGUUUGAAAGGUGCAAUUGCACCACUACCAGAUGGACCUGCGUUGUAUUAGCUAGUUGGUGGGGUAACGGCUCACCAAGGCGACGAUACAUAGCCGACCUGAGAGGGUGAUCGGCCACACUGGGACUGAGACACGGCCCAGACUCCUACGGGAGGCAGCAGUAGGGAAUCUUCGGCAAUGGACGGAAGUCUGACCGAGCAACGCCGCGUGAGUGAAGAAGGUUUUCGGAUCGUAAAGCUCUGUUGUAAGAGAAGAACGAGUGUGAGAGUGGAAAGUUCUCACUGUGACG
rnacentral:rRNA from 1 species